UGAUGGACCUAUCCUCCAUGAACUUAUCUAGUUCUUUUUUGAACCCUGUUAUAGUCUUGGCCUUCACAACAUCCUCUGGCAAGAAGUUCCACAGGUUGACUGUGCUGUGUAUAAAUCUACUCAAUAGGGAAAAAAUAACCUUUGCAGAGAAUUGACAUUGUUAAAAACAAAUCAAAUGAGAAAUUUUUGUAAGCAGUUGCUCAGUAGGUAAAGGCAAACCAGCAGAGGGAGGUGGGGGAAAAGCACAUUACACCACUAUCCAACCAAAGCUGGCCCAGACUGCACUUCAGCUCACAACACUGUCUCCCUGAAGUUCCUGGUGUGUCUUUCGCUGAAGUCAUUUCCCCACUACAUUAUACUCAAGAACUACAAACUGUGACUCAGCCUCCAAAACAUGGUUCUCAUUGAUAGACUUCAAUUGUGAGUUUUUAUGUGACAUAUUUGAUAUCUUGAACUACUGUGUGUGUGUGUGUGUGUGUGUGUAAGUAAAACUUACAGAGCCUGCGGUUCUGCUGCGGAAGAUCUACGUGUCGCCACUCACCUAUCCUUCAGCCUCAGCUGCACUAUUCAAUGCCACUUGAUUACCUUAAAGUGACAGCUUUCUCCUACAGAAUUUGGCAUUGCUGAUAGUACUUGAAGAAGGAAAUAAUCUUGUAAUUAAGACAGUAGAUAUGCUAAAGAAAAUUCUCUCAAAUGACAAUUUUAUCACCCUCUCCCCAUCCAAUAAAGUUUUCAGUUUAAUGAUGGGCAAAUCUGAAAUGGUUUGGCGUUUCUAUUUGCACAAGUUUAGAUGUUGAUCCAAACACUACCCAGAUCUCUGGCAUCCGCAAAAUUAGGCUGGGAAUAUUGGGCACGGUAUUCUACUCUUUAUCCUCUGUUACAGUCAAUGAAAGUUUCAUGUGCAUAACUUGCAAGCAUAAUUUGGUUCAAUGUUAGGAGAGAGUUUCAGGUGAGGUUUUUGGGGCUUUUCUGAUUCUGGUUGGCCCAGCACUAGUGCAGGAACAACAUUUUUGUUAUAUUUUAGAUACUCUGUCAAGAAGUGCAGACACAAGUAAAUGUUCAGAUAACUAUUAAGUUAUUCAUCUUUUGUGAACCCCAGAAAAAACUUGAAUCAGCUUUGAGCAAAGGUUUGGGAUAUUUUUAUUUUAUUUUAUACCCAUCUGUUCACCCAUCCCCAAUUUAAUUAAUCACAACAAAAUACAAAUUGGGUAAUCAGCUUCUAAGACAUCACAUUAUAGGUAGUUCUAUGCAACCUGCACCCUCAGAUCAGUGUUAUCCCCAUGAGCUCAUGGUGGCUGAGUACUAAGAAUAAAAUGUUAUAUUUACCCAUAAAUGCCACGAAUGAAUCAAGAUAGUAUGAUCUGAUGCAAAUGAGGAAAGGUAAUUAUAUCAGAGUGGAUGAAUAGGGGUCCUGCAAUGCACUUUUCUAUUGGAACUAUGUAAAAGACCUAUUUUUUUUCCUGAUGGCCACCUCUCUCUGUGUGCCAUUCUUAGUGUUCCCUGGGGUAUAUUUUUGUAACAAUGUCAAUUCUUUGCAACCAUCAUUUUUUCCCCUAUUGAGUAGAUUUAAUAGUCAAUUUUGAGAACAGUUUAACUCUCCAUUAACUGUUGCUAAUUUACAAGGGAACUCCUGUAGAAGAAAAACAUAAUUUAAUGCAACAUCAACCUGGACCACUAAACAAAGCCAGUAGUAGCAGCAUGGCUAUGGGGAACAGCAAACAAGGGUGACUGCAAGUAUUUUUUUUAAUAAAUUCAAUUAAACAGAUAAAUUUAGCUUCCCUAAAAUGGUGGUAUUUUUUCCUUCAUUUUGAGACGGUAUUGAGAGUAAAACAUGUCCCCAUUGAGGGACACAGGCCAGAUUGUACAAACAAGCCACUCAAACCUUGCCCCAGAAAGUUUACAAGCAAGGAUUUGAGAGUAGGCAUUUGGUGAAUACGUAAACAAAGUGGGGGUGAAAAUGCCUCUCAGAUCAUCUGAACUCAAGACCUCUGGAUCUAAAAGCAUGGGCCUCUAUCACCUGUGAGCUAGAGGAGCAUCUAACAGUAAAGGUAGCUGCAGUCCCAUACAUGGACUUCCAAUAUGGAACUGUGGAGAUAUGCAAAGGUCAAAGUGAGUAGUGGCUGUCUAGGACCCAACCCCAAAGCUGCUCUACACCUUCUACAACAUGCUAAGAUGGAUCAGGAUGGCACAGAUCUUUACCCCAAAAUGAACCUCAGUCUUCGAAAUCCCUGUGACCUUGACCAAUGGCUGCGUCCUAGAGAGCCUCUUUACCCCAUACAUGUUCAAUUGCAGUUUAAGAUUUUUCAGUGAGUUUGCAUGACUCUCCAAUAAAGGAGAGUGGGUCAAAGGAAGCAUGCUUGUCAAAAAAGCAUGCUCCCACUUCCAAAUUGUUCGAGCAUGGCCAACAGUCACUUCUGCAAGGCUGAUAUUUUUGUUCAUUUUUUUCCCCUUAAUUCUCUUGCUCCAAUGAGCUACUACACAAAUGAACAUGCUGUCAAAGUGAUGGGAAGCUGUACUUCUGAAACCUCUUGUAUUCCAUUAGCAGAGUAUAUCAUUGGAAAGACAGCCAGCAGGAAGAUAAAACUAGGCAAUAUGAAAGAUAUGCCAAGCAACCUAGAGUUCAAGCCACAUGUUUAUGAUUGCUACCAUCCCUAUGCUAAAUAAUCCUGCUGAAAGCAACAUGCUUUGAGGAUGAUGAUGGUAUGAGAAAGGUUUGGGAGGAAUAAUACGUCCCUGCUCACACCCAGCUCCAUUCUACCGAUUGGCUUCCUAUGGCCAACAGAGGAUGUCACACCUCACUGCAUGCAAGCCAUAGAGAUUACAGAGAGCUGAACCUAAAGUCUGAUACUAGAAAAGUGUCAACCUGAUCCUGCAUGCAUGUCUCACAUGGGGAAAAAUAAUUCCCAGGUUAAGGGUCUGGAGGACUGGACAUCAAUUGCUGUAGUAAGCUACAUCUUUUUCUGAAAGGAGGCUGAUAAUGUAAUUCAAGAAUGGAGGAGAAUUAAGUUUAAGAACUGGGAACUUAAUGAUUAUAUAUAACGUAUAUUUACACCGCUCAGGAAUAUUUUGAUAUUCUAUUUAUUUUUAAAAAUCAUUUUAAAGUACUUUUCUUCUUGCAGUGAUGUCACUGUGGUUGGACUAAUAGGUACUGAUUUGAGAAUAUGGAAAUAGCAACAGACCAUGGUUUGAAUUCUGAGGCUCUAUGAAUCAGCAAUAUAAAUACAUAAUAUCUCCUAUCUAACGAUCUAUCCAUCUCUCUCUCUCUCUCUCGUAUGUGUAUAUUUCCCUCAGAAAGACAAAAACCUUUCAUAGAAAUAAGCAAACAAGGAAUUCAACUUUCCUAUAUCCCAAACUCUUUAGUUCUGCCAAGUUCACCCUUAUUGCAUUUCCAGACCAAUUGAGAGAAAGUUGGUGGUACUGAAAAAUACUUAAGACCUGAAAGCAUGGAAGGAUGAUAAGCAAUAGGAAAGCAUUGAGCUUAUGCAAGGCAGUGUCUGCUUCACAAAUUUGAUGUGAAUUAUUAUUAGUCCAGGCCUCUCUGUCAAUGCCAGAAUAGAAAUUAGGGACCAUGGAUAGCACCAAAUGCAGCUAGAGGACAAUACUUUAUAUUUCUUAGGCUCUUGUGCCUGUCAAGGUGAGGGAGGCAGUGUUCAGAAAUGAAACACUUUAUCUUCCUCUCCAGACCAUUUGGGUGACCAGGGUCACAGUGGUAAUAAUGAACACUGGAUUUCUGAGGUUGUAUGCCACCUGUUUUAUACCACAAUAGCAACUUGAACCUACUACUCUUAGCAGCUUUAAUACUGGAAAUGGUGACAGUAAUAUAUGGCAUGAUGCUGAGACAAAGUAUGCUGGUAGUUUCUCUAAAACUAGUUUUUAAACUAUUGUACCCUCAAGUGAGAGGACUUUUUCAGUGUUGCCAACCCCAAGCAUUCUAGAGUCAAGUCAGACCUGCAAAAACAAAAACAAAAAUCACUGACAAGAA